AACGCGAAGAACCUUACCUGGGCUUGACAUACUGGUGUAAGCCGGUGGAAACAUCGGCCCCUCUUCGGAGCGCCAGCACAGGUGCUGCAUGGCUGUCGUCAGCUCGUGUCGUGAGAUGUUGGGUUAAGUCCCGCAACGAGCGCAACUCUCGCUCCCAGUUGCCAGCGGUUCGGCCGGGGACUCUGGGGGGACUGCCGGCGUUAAGCCGGAGGAAGGUGGGGACGACGUCAAGUCAUCAUGGCCCUUACGUCCAGGGCGACACACGUGCUACAAUGCCUGGUACAGCGCGUCGCGAACUCGCAAGAGGGAGCCAAUCGCCAAAAGCCGGGCUAAGUUCGGAUUGUCGUCUGCAACUCGACGGCAUGAAGCCGGAAUCGCUAGUAAUCGCGGAUCAGCCACGCCGCGGUGAAUACGUUCCCGGGCCUUGUA
rnacentral:rRNA from 1 species